UUUUGAAUCUAAGUAACUUUGUAUUUGAAUAAACUAAAAUAUCAUAUGAAAAAUACUAAAAAUUAUUGAACACUCACCUGUAAUGAAAACAAGCUUUUAAGAAUACAACUUUAUUCAGUGCUGGUCGGAAUGAAACUGACCAACACUGACGCUUGUUAACAAAGUUUCCUGCUUAGUUUUCAGGUGAGGUUCGACAAGGUUUACUUUGAAAGCUAACAAAAGGUUUAAUUAGAAAAUAUCCUUUGACUGGCCCCUGUCAUAUAGGGGGACGCUAACAAAAAUCUCACCUUAACUUUUCUUGACAUAAAACGGAUUAUUGGGAUUCGUAAAUAAGUAAAUGACCCAAGAUUACGUAAUACCACUUUGUCCAGAUAAAACUUAUUUAUAUCUAUUGUCCUGUGUCUUUAGAUAAAUUGCUAAAGAUUAUAAAUGUUAAUUUCCGUGGCUAUGAGUAUUAAGUAAUGAGAUAAUAUAAUUUACUUUAAAUUAUACUGAUUCAUAAAUAUUGUAUAAAAGAUUUUCAUACUAAAAAGUUCAUAUAUAAAACAUAAUAAUUUAAAACAAAUAAACACAAAUUUCUCUAAAUUAUUAAAGUUUGAAUGCAGCUGUUGAGGCAUGAAGUUGCACCUAAAUUUUCACUGUCACAUAUAUCCCACCCGGUCGAAAAUUUCUUCGACCCCGAAGAAAAACAAAAUUAUAGAUAAAUCCAAAAGUAAAAAUAAAUAUUUCCCCUUUUUGUAAGAAAGAUAUUUUACACAAGUUAUUUUGAGAGUUUAUCAUAAGUCAUGAAAAUACAAAAAGGCAUUGUUCUGUUGCAUACAGGUUUACAUAAAUUAUAAAUUCUAUUUCAAUAUCAUAAAAUGGUUGUGGUGUGUAAGCAAAAUAUGGCAGAAGAAUGGUGUGUUUAAUAUUUUUCGUAUUUUUCUCGCAGUGUAUGGGUUGAUUGAAAUGUAUUCAGGUAGUGGAAUUUCAUGUUUUGUAUUCGUCCCACGAAUACAAAAAUCAUGCCAGUCUGCAUGUAACCUUGUAAUGAAAAAUCCAGAAAUUCUCAUAUUAGUAAUUGUAUCUGGUACCUUUAUGUCCCAAUCUGUAGGACAAAGUGAUAACGUGACUAGUGGUAUGGUGAUGCACGAUAGUCCAUUUGUGAUUUCAAGAACGACUUUAGUAUGAUUGUUAUUUGUAGAUCUUUUGUAAAAAUAGAAUGUGAAAAUUGUCAAUGUAAGUGUAGUUAUUAUGGAUAAUAUAACAAAAGGCCAUGGAUUGCACUGAGUGUUAAAAAUGUUUUCAAUGGUACUUGGAGUUGUAGUUUUUGAAAUUUGUUUGUAAAUAAAUGAUGGAAUUGUUGAAGCGAUGGAUGUACUUUGUGCCUGUGGAAUCUUUUGUAAAAGAAGUACUGUGGCUGUGAGUAAGCGAACUUUGUUGACGAGUGUGAAGCAUACAAUUGCUAAAAUGGAUGACAG
rnacentral:lncRNA from 1 species